GAUGAACGCUGGCGGCGUGCCUAAUACAUGCCAGUCGAGCGAACAGACGAGGAGCUUGCUCCUCUGACGUUAGCGGCGGACGGGUGAGUAACACGUGGAUAACCUACCUAUAAGACUGGGAUAAAUUCGGGAAACCGGAGCUAAUACCAGAUAAUAUAUUGAACAGCAUGGUUCAAUAGUGAAAGACGGUUUUGCUGUCACUUAUAGAUGGAUCCGCGCCGCAUUAGCUAGUUGGUAAGGUAACGGCUUACCAAGGCAACGAUGCGUAGCCGACCUGAGAGGGUGAACGGCCACACUGGAACUGAGACACGGUCCAGACUCCUACGGGAGGCAGCAGUGGGGAAUCUUCCGCAAUGGGCGAAAGCCUGACGGAGCAACGCCGCGUGAGGGAUGAAGGUCUUCGGAUCGUAAAACUCUGUUAUUAGGGAAGAACAAAUGUGUAAGUAACUAUGCACGUCUUGACGGUACCGAAUCAGAAAGCCACGGCUAACUACGUG
rnacentral:rRNA from 1 species